CGUAGGUGGCAAGCGUUGUCCGGAUUUAUUGGGUUUAAAGGGUGCGUAGGCGGUCUUAUAAGUCAGUGCUGAAAUAUCCCGGCUUAACCGGGAGGGUGGCAUUGAUACUGUAGGACUGGAGUAAAGUUGAGGUUGGCGGAAUUGACGGUGUAGCGGUGAAAUGCUUAGAUAUCGUCAAGAACACCGAUAGUGUAGACAGCUAACUAAGCUUUAACUGACGCUGAGGCACGAAAGUGUGGGGAUCAAACAGGAUUAGAUACCCUGGUAGUCCACACUGUAAACGUUGAAGACUCGCUGUUGGCGAUACACAGUCAGCGGCUGAGAGAAAUCGUUAAGUCUUCCACCUGGGGAGUACGCCGGCAACGGUG
rnacentral:rRNA from 1 species